CAUUUCCUAUUAGUUUCACUGUUGGGAAUAAUUCAUUGCCAUUACUAAACAAUAUCUUUUAAGAUGAAUAACAGGAUUACAAGCUGAGACUUGAAGGGGUCAUUUAGGCAAUUUGUGUAUUUUAUAUAUCUUCGUAAAAUGUUAAUGUAGUGCUUGUAGUGUAACUCUUCAUUGAUGUUACUUUGGUGUAUAUAUAUAUAUCACUAUUUAAACAACCUAUUUACCAGAUAUGCACUUAAUAAAUGUUCUCACUUCUAAAAAGGCAUAUAAAUUUCGUUAAACAAAUUAGGGCUAUCUAUUUUUAUAUUUGCAUUCAGUUUGGGAUUUAUUUGCAAGCUUUCUGUUUUGCAUUUGCAAAAUAUAUGAUGUAAUGUCGCUAGUCUGCUGUACUAACAACAUUUCUUGUAAUGUCAUGCAAUGUUAAUAAGUAAACCAUGUGUUAACAGUGAUUUUUUUUGACACUUCAUAUCAGUAACCAUUAUAAACCCUCUAGUUCUAAAUUAUUUUAAUGUGAAUGCUUAAUACUGUCUGUCUUUUUUCCUCUGUGUGUGCAAUAUUAUUUGUACAUAAUGUUAAUGUAAUCACUUAUUACGUCAACCCUAAUCUAGAGCAAUAGAUAUUAAUAAAUAAACAAUAGCUUAUUUUAUUGUGACUGGACAAUUGUCGUGUUCAGACAAAUAAGUAGGCUAAGGUAAAAUUUCAAGAAUAAAAGCACUAAAAAACAAUCCAAAAAGCCAAAAUUGAACAAAAUUUGUAAAGUCAAAAACAAACAAUAAAAAUUACAUAAUAAACUGUAAUGACUGUAAAGAAGCACAAAACGACAGUUGGAUUGUAUACAGAUUGUAGUUAAGGAGCAACAUGUGGAAAGCCAGGAGGGUCAGAAAGGGGAAGUCUGAGAAAAGCAGUGUAAUAUACAGUAGUGAACAAUUAAUGCAUAGACCUACUCUAUAGUACAUCCAACUACAACCAGUAUAAUCUAAAUAAAAAAUUUAAUAUUAUUUCACUGAAAAUCAGCGAAGACUGUCAGUUCAGUGUACGUGCAGGGAUUAAAUUGAGGAGCAGAGCUCUGGUAACUUUGAAUUACUUGACUGAGGAGCAAAGCUGAGGUCUACGACUAUAAGAAAUGUAAAUCAUCGUAUACAAAUGAAAAUAACAAUAAUCAUGUUUUGCGCAGCAGUUUGCCCUUUUAUGCAGUACUGACGGUGCUGAAACUCUUUA
ensembl:lncRNA